AAAGGUUACUGACACACCCGGCCGCUUUGCCAUGGCGCUGUGUAAGAUAGUUUUCGUGGAGAAGUCUAUCACUAAAUGUAGACGAAUAAGGAGGGAAAAUUAUGGCAAAACAAAAAAUCAGAAUCAGAUUAAAAGCUUAUGAUCACCGCGUGAUUGAUCAAUCAGCAGAGAAGAUUGUAGAAACAGCGAAACGUUCUGGUGCAGAUGUUUCUGGACCAAUUCCGUUACCAACUGAGAAAUCAGUUUACACAAUCAUCCGUGCCGUGCAUAAGUAUAAAGAUUCACGUGAACAAUUCGAACAACGUACACACAAACGUUUAAUCGAUAUUGUAAACCCAACACCAAAAACAGUUGACGCUUUAAUGGGCUUAAACUUACCAUCUGGUGUAGACAUCGAAAUCAAAUUAUAAUAGACAAUUU
rnacentral:sRNA from 1 species